AGUUGCGAAGGCGGCUCUCUGGACUGUAACUGACGCUGAGGCACGAAAGCGUGGGGAGCAAACAGGAUUAGAUACCCUGGUAGUCCACGCUGUAAACGAUGAGUACUAGGUGUCGGGGGUUACCCCCCUCGGUGCCGCAGCUAACGCAUUAAGUACUCCGCCUGGGAAGUACGCUCGCAAGAGCGAAACCCAAAGGAAUUGACGGGGACCCGCACAAGUAGCGGAGCAUGUGGUUUAAUUCGAAGCAACGCGAAGAACCUUACCUAAGCUUGACAUCCCAAUGACAUCUCCUUAAUCGGAGAGUUCCCUUCGGGGACAUUGGUGACAGGUGGUGCAUGGUUGUCGUCAGCUCGUGUCGUGAGAUGUUGGGUUAAGUCCCGCAACGAGCGCAACCCUUGUCUUUAGUUGCCAUCAUUAAGUUGGGCACUCUAGAGAGACUGCCAGGGAUAACCUGGAGGAAGGUGGGGAUGACGUCAAAUCAUCAUGCCCCUUAUGCUUAGGGCUACACACGUGCUACAAUGGGUAGUACAGAGGGUUGCCAAGCCGUAAGG
rnacentral:rRNA from 1 species